rnacentral:rRNA from 1 species
GACAGAGGAUGCAAGCGUUAUCCGGAAUGAUUGGGCGUAAAGAGCUUGUAGGCGGUUUGUCGCGUCUGCUGUGAAAAUCCGGGGCUCAACCCCGGACUUGCAGUGGGUACGGGCAGACUAGAGUGUGGUAGGGGAGACUGGAAUUCCUGGUGUAGCGGUGGAAUGCGCAGAUAUCAGGAGGAACACCGAUGGCGAAGGCAGGUCUCUGGGCCACUACUGACGCUGAGAAGCGAAAGCAUGGGGAGCGAACAGG